rnacentral:rRNA from 1 species
AUAACGGUUCCAACGAGCCGCUAAUACCGGAUAGAUUAGUCUGGUCGCAUGGCUGGAUUAGAAAGUCGCAAUUGCGACGUUCAGGGAUGAGUUCGCGUCCCAUUAGCUAGUUGCGGGGUAAAGGCCCACCAAGGCGACGAUGGGUAGCCGGCCUGAGAGGGUGAUCGGCCACAUUGGGACUGAGAUACGGCCCAGACUCCUACGGGAGGCAGCAGUAGGGAAUUUUGCGCAAUGGACGAAAGUCUGACGCAGCAAUACCGUGUGAGGGAUGAAGCAUUUCGGUGUGUAAACCUCUGUCGAUGAUGAAUAAAGCAUUCGAGAGUGGAAAGCUCGGGGUGUUGAAGGUAAUCAUGAAGGAAGCACCGGCUAACUCUGUGCCAGCAGCCGCGGUAAUACAGGGGGU